ACAAUGGGUAUCGACACCGAAAGGUGAAGGCAAUCUCUAAACCCAUCCGUAGUUCGGAUUGUGGGCUGCAACUCGCCCACAUGAAGCUGGAAUCUGUAGUAAUCGUGUCUCAAAAUGGCACGGUGAAUAUGUCCCUGCUCCUU
rnacentral:rRNA from 1 species